CUCCCGGUAAGUGUAUCGGCCAUCCACCAAUGUUGCUCCAACAAGUCCUCCAGGACCUGCCACAGAUGCAGCCAAACGGUGGCACGAUAUUAAGCUUCCUGUCACCAACUUCACUAUUUCAAAGUUUUUCUUUAGGUCUUGAAUAAUGCUCUUGUCUUGCUUUUGGUAAGUUUGUUUUAUAAAAGAACGUGUGAUUUCAUGGAGUUGACGCAAUGCUGGUACCACCCAAACAAACUGAGGAUUAUUGUGCUGGGAUGACCUCUUAAUAUCCUCAAUGCAUUUGAUGAUGUAGCUUCUUUUGAUUGCCUCUUUCACUGCAUAGGCAUCACUGAGGAUUGUCAGGUGUUCCUCCAAUGCCUGCUGAAUAAGACUGCAUGGUAAUGUUGGAAGAUGAGCCAGCUCCCAAAGCACCUCCAGAACCUUUCCAGUGGUUGUCUCCACCCGUGCUUCUCGACCAAUGCGCCCUAUCAGGCUCAACAGCUUCUGCC
rnacentral:lncRNA from 1 species